UUUUUUUUUUUUUUUUUUUUGUAUCCCAGGUUUGAGGAGAAAAACUGCAUUCAGAUGCCUGUUGCCCAAGAAACUUCCUUCAUGUAACCCUUAUUUAAAGGCAGCAUUUUCAAUUGGUGAUGUAAUGCAGAAAACACAGUGAAGGCACAUAAAUACAGAGAAUCACAAAAGGAAGGUCAUUGCAUCAUACAGGGAGCAUGGAAAAAAAUUUAGAAGUGGUUGAAACAAUGAAGGAACUCAUCAGUUACUACCUCUUAUUAUGGACACAAGAGUUACAAUCUCCAAAUGACAGUUCAAGACCUUCAAGCAAGUUUGAAGUCUAAGGGGGUAGAAGACAGAAAGCAGCAGAAGGAGCAGUUUAUGUCCCUGUGAGGUGUCCAGAAGUUCAGCUUCUCUGAGGAGUUAUUAAUUGUACUGGAGAAUGAGAACUCUGUGUAACAGUAUGGAAAGGAUCUUAAAAGACCCAAAAGAAAUCUGAAGUCUUUGCAAGGAAUGGAAUUCUUCAAGACUAUUACUACAGGCCAAGUGGCUCUCUGAAAUAGUGAUUAUAUGGAUUAAAAAUAUGUGCUUCAGAAAGACAUGAUUUCAAAAUAGAGCGAUGUCAGUUUUCUUCCUGACAGUCAUUUUGUAUCUCUCUUAUGUUUAAGUAUUCCCUUCCAUGAAACUAUUGGGCUGUCAUGUUUUUCAUUUGUUUUUGUGGCUGCACCAGAUGCAAUCAAUUCCAAGCAACAAAAUAAAAUAUUUCUGAAAGCA